CCCACAGGCCCAGUGAUCUGGUCUGACCCAGGAGGACUUGAGCGGCCCAGUCCCCAGGGGCUUCCUGUGUGACAUCACAAGCAGACUGAGGCCCGUCAGAGCCGCCCCAGGCAGUUAUGUGAGGUGCUCUCAACUUACAACCUUUAAAACAAGGAAGACCCACCCUGUUCCCAGGAGCUUUCCAGAUCCACCAAGGGCAGGUGGGAAGAGACCUUGAAGUAUCAGGGUUCGAGCCCCGAGAGGAGAUCCAAGGGGACCCCCUCCUCCAUCUGACUGAGGAACGGACUCCCCACUUCCACCAACCCAACUCGUCAUGGCUGCUCGGAAAUCUCAUAUUCAACUCAAAAAAGGAGGCGAAACUCCUCUCAACGCCUGCAUUUUAAGCAGCGGCUCCUCGGCUCUUGUGCGCUGUUCAGGCGCUCGCAGAUCGUCCCUGCUCUUCCCUCCACCCUGCAGUGAGCUCCUGGCAGCUGGGCCGGACGCAGCUUCCCAUGAGCAGAGGAUCGACCUGGGAGCCUGGUGGGUGAUCUCCGCCCAGACCAAGCAUGAGAACCCCAAGUCCAGUGGGACAGGCCACAGACCAGCGACUGCUGCCCAUGCCUGUCCUGGGGACUCCAGACAGUGCCGAGGGAAAGGAGAAAUCAUUCAUUCAGCCAUUCAUUCGUUGACCCAGGCAAUUAUUCAUUCAUUCAUUCAACAGAUAUUGACUGAGUCCUCCCUUUGAGGCAGGCACUGUUUUAUGCACUGAAAUACAACUAUUUAUACAACAGACACUCUUCCCUCCCCCCAUGGAGGUUCUGUUCAAGCGGGGAGACAGUCAUUUGUUAAAUGAAACAUAAAAUCUCAGUGACAAUUAGAGCUCUGGGGGAGAAUGAAGGAGCAGGAAGAGGCAGACGAGGAGGAGCCGGGGCUGCCAGGUGCAGUAGCCCAGGUUGCGCACUGCUCAACUUUGCUGUAGGAUUCACAUCACAGUCAUCAGAGUCACACUGGGCAGUUUUCCAGUAGAUGGCCGCACUGUGUCUCAGGAAGGGCCCAUUGCCGCUUUGUCCAAGGCCAUCUCAUGGGCUCAAAGCCAUGGGAGGGGAGGGGUCCUGCCAGGAUGACACAGAGUCUGGGGCCCUCAUUUUCCUCCCAUCAGAUGAUGCCCAGCCUGGGAAGGCACUGAGACCGCAGCGGAGUGGGCCAGGGGGCAGUGAGAGGAGGGGACGUGGGUGGGGCAGGGCUGGGGCACUGGAGGAGCAGGUCAGGCAGGGCCCGUCAGCCCAGGGGCACCCCAGGACUCAAGCCCGCAGCCGACCCUGCUCUGCUAGGCCUCACUGCAGCUGUGGGAAGGGGAAGCAUGGAGCCCUCCCUCAAGGUCAGUGCAGCGCCUGGCUUGAGCUCAUGACGGUGACCGUCCCCUGCUGCCACCAUUGUAGUCACUGCCCUGGUGGGCAGCCUGGACCCCAGCUCCACCGCGCAUGGACUGUGUGGUCUUGGGCAGUGCCAAGCUCAGCCUCACGGGCCUGUGGGGACGGUCACAGGAGGUCCACGUGCCAGGCCCAGGGUUCAUGCACAGGGUUACCACCACUGCGAGGUUGCCUGCCCCGUCUUGUACCCGGCCGUCCAUGUCCUCACCUCAGGCAGCAGGACAAAGGCAAGUGGAACUGAGAGGGGAGAGAGAGGCCAGAGUCCCCUGCAGCCCUGUCCCCAGGACCAGUGCCAA